rnacentral:snoRNA from 1 species
CUUUAUGAUGAAUAAGAGCUUUGCUCGAAUAUAACCCAGCUCGUCGAAGGUCUCGUUUAUCUCACGUUGAGGCCAUCAUGUGAUAAAAAGUUAUAUCUGAAAAC